rnacentral:rRNA from 1 species
CCUACGGGAGGCAGCAGUGGGGAAUAUUGGACAAUGGGCGAAAGCCUGAUCCAGCCAUGCCGCGUGUGUGAAGAAGGCCUUCGGGUUGUAAAGCACUUUCAGUGGGGAAGAAAGCCUUGGGGCUAAUACCCUCGAGGAAGGACAUCACCCACAGAAGAAGCACCGGCUAACUCCGUGCCAGCAGCCGCGGUAAUACGGAGGGUGCGAGCGUUAAUCGGAAUUACUGGGCGUAAAGCGCGCGUAGGCGGUCUGAUAAGCCGGUUGUGAAAGCCCCGGGCUCAACCUGGGAACGGCAUCCGGAACUGUCAGGCUAGAGUGCAGGAGAGGUAGGUAGAAUUCCCGGUGUAGCGGUGAAAUGCGUAGAGAUCGGGAGGAAUACCAGUUGCGAAGGCGGCCUUCUGGACUGACACUGACGCUGAGGUGCGAAAGCGUGGGUAGCAAACAGGAUUAGAUACCCUAGUAGUC